rnacentral:lncRNA from 1 species
ACGGAAUGCAUUUAAACCUGAGCUGGGAAUUGCCUUCUCCUCUGGCUGAACCCACCCCAGGGCAGGGGGCUCUCGCUGGGCACAGGAGCGUGGCAGUUGGGGCACAGGUGCAGCUAAUUAUCCUCAUUAGAGCUAAUGAGCCUCAUUAUUGGCCCCACCUGUGCUGGAACCAACCAGAACCAGCCCUGUUAUUGUCCUCACCUGUGCUGGAACCAACCAGAACCCAUCACAAAACCCAACAGCAGAACAUUCCUUCACCUGCUGCUGCUGGAGGAGGUUCCUGCCCUGCUUCUGCUCGUUCCUGUUGUGCUUCUAAAGGUGUUUCUCACCUGGGAACCCUAAAGGAGGAAAGAAUUUCUGGCGCAGCGUUCCUGAGGAAAAUCGGUACAAAAUUAAGAUUUCGGCAGAGCAAUUGAAUUUCACACAUUUCAGUCCAUGAAAGGAGGGGAGGAUUCUGCCCAAACCGUGAGGGCCGAUGUGAUCCUGCCCCACAAGGGCCCACGGAGCUGGAAUGGGGCAAAAAUGGGAACUGGGGAAAAAGGCCCGGCUUCAAGGGGCACGGCUGGAGCUCUGUCAGACCCACCAGGAAAUCUG